AUACGUAGGGGGCGAGCGUUGUCCGGAAUGAUUGGGCGUAAAGGGCGCGUAGGCGGCGCGGUAAGUCUGGAGUGAAAGUCCUGCUUUCAAGGUGGGAAUUGCUUUGGAUACUGCCGCGCUUGAGUGCAGGAGAGGUUAUCGGAAUUCCCGGUGUAGCGGUGAAAUGCGUAGAGAUCGGGAGGAACACCAGUGGCGAAGGCGGGUAACUGGACUGCAACUGACGCUGAGGCGCGAAAGUGUGGGGAGCAAACAGGAUUAGAUACCCUGGUAGUCCACACUGUAAACGAGGAAUGCUAGGUGUAAGAGGUAUCGACCCCUUUUGUGCCGGAGUCAACACAAUAAGCAUUCCGCCUGGGGAGUACGGCCGCAAGGUUGAAACUCAAAUGAAUUGGCGGGG
rnacentral:rRNA from 1 species